CAAAUUUAGAAUCGAUGUGAGCCAAGAAAAGAUCCUUGAAAAGAGUGUAACUGACGUAAGGAGAAUAACUAAUGGAGGAAAGAAGUUAAAAAAGAAAUCUUUAACAGAUCAUUUGAUUGAUUCAACUUUGGAUAACAACAAAGCUUGAUAGAUCUUACUGAUCAUUUGGGAAUAAUACUCUUCUAUAUUUAUACACUGUUUUGUGACAUCACAUUUGUAGGAGGCUCAAAAAAGUAAGUGUUCUAAAAGAAGUCUUACACAUAUGCAGUCAAACCUCUAAACAACGACCACUGACGAUAACGUAAAAAUGGCCGUUACUUGGAGGUUAUUUUGUAUGCAUUUCAACAAGAAACGUUCCUGAGAAAAUUGCCGCGGUUUAGAAGUGACCGUUGUUGGAAGGUGACUCUAUUAUUAACGUUCGAUGAUUCUAUAUACAAUUUAUAUAUAACGUUUCUCAGGAGUAAAAUUAGUUUAUGUUGCUGUUAAAAUGACAAUGAACUACAACUUCUUCAUUGUCCUUAUAAAGGAUAAAUUAACGAAAAAGGUCUUGAGGCUAGAUCCUGAGAGCAUUUUCAUCAAUUUUCAUCAUAAAAUUACAUAAAUCCUUUCAAGUUUCCAAUGCAAAUUUACUAUUUAAAAAAUUUGUUUAUUUUUAUGAUAUUUUUUAAAA